rnacentral:lncRNA from 1 species
UGCACACCAUGGCUUUAAAAAUUUGGAAGCUUUCAAGAGAGACCUCAAGAAUUAAAGAUCGGCAUCCAGCUGGUUAAAAGGGAUGUUUUAUCGCACACUUAUAUGCACAUCUACAUACAAGCAAAUGAAUUUAGGGGCAUUUUUAAGAAUGUCCAAUUUUAAGGAUAUGAGUUGAAAAGUGUCCACUCAUUUGAAUUUAGUGACAACUUGUCUAUUAUACCCUUAAUGAAAAACUACAUUUUGAAAUG